rnacentral:rRNA from 1 species
UACGGGGGGGCAAGCGUUGUUCGGAAUUACUGGGCGUAAAGGGCUCGUAGGCGGCCAACUAAGUCGGACGUGAAAUCCCUCAGCUUAACUGGGGAACUGCGUCUGAUACUGGAUGGCUUGGAUUCGGGAGAGGGAUGCGGAAUUCCAGGUGUAGCGGUGAAAUGCGCAGAUAUCAGGAGGAACACCAAUUGCGAAGGCAGCUCGCUGGGACGUUACUGACGCUGAGACGCGAAAGCGUGGGGAGCAAACAGG